rnacentral:rRNA from 1 species
CACCGCGGUUAUACGAGAGGCCCAAGUCGAUAGCUUCCGGCGUAAAGGGUGGUUAGGGAAUAAUAUAAACUAAAGCCGAACUCCUUCAAGGCCGUUUAACGCGAUCGACUGGGGGAAGCUCAACUACGAAAGUGGCUUUACUAAACCUGACUCCACGAAAGCUAAGGCA